rnacentral:rRNA from 1 species
AACGAACGCUGGCGGCAGGCCUAACACAUGCAAGUCGAACGCUCCGCAAGGGGAGUGGCAGACGGGUGAGUAACACGUGGGAACCUACCUCGAGGUGCGGAACAACCAAGGGAAACUUUGGCUAAUACCGCAUGUGCCCUUAGGGGAAAGAUUUAUCGCCUUGGGAUGGGCCCGCGUCGGAUUAGCUAGUUGGUGUGGUAAUGGCGCACCAAGGCGACGAUCCGUAGCUGGUCUGAGAGGAUGAUCAGCUACACUGGGACUGAGACACGGCCCAGACUCCUACGGGAGGCAGCAGUGGGGAAUAUUGGACAAUGGGCGCAAGCCUGAUCCAGCCAUGCCGCGUGUGUGAUGAAGGCCUUAGGGUUGUAAAGCACUUUCGCCGAUGAAGAUAAUGACUGUAGUCGGAGAAGAAGCUCCGGCUAACUUCGUGCCAGCAGCCGCGGU